GCGAUCAUAGCUCAAUCGGUAGAGCACCGGACUGUGGCUCCGGGGGUUAGCGGUUCAAGCCCGCUUGAUCGCC
rnacentral:tRNA from 1 species